GAAAAGCUUGCUUUUCUUGAGAGCGGCGGACGGGUGAGUAAUGCCUAGGAAUCUGCCUGGUAGUGGGGGAUAACGUCCGGAAACGGACGCUAAUACCGCAUACGUCCUACGGGAGAAAGCAGGGGACCUUCGGGCCUUGCGCUAUCAGAUGAGCCUAGGUCGGAUUAGCUAGUUGGUGAGGUAAUGGCUCACCAAGGCGACGAUCCGUAACUGGUCUGAGAGGAUGAUCAGUCACACUGGAACUGAGACACGGUCCAGACUCCUACGGGAGGCAGCAGUGGGGAAUAUUGGACAAUGGGCGAAAGCCUGAUCCAGCCAUGCCGCGUGUGUGAAGAAGGUCUUCGGAUUGUAAAGCACUUUAAGUUGGGAGGAAGGGUUGUAGAUUAAUACUCUGCAAUUUUGACGUUACCGACAGAAUAAGCACCGGCUAACUCUGUGCCAGCAGCCGCGGUAAUACAGAGGGUGCAAGCGUUAAUCGGAAUUACUGGGCGUAAAGCGCGCGUAGGUGGUUUGUUAAGUUGGAUGUGAAAGCCCCGGGCUCAACCUGGGAACUGCAUUCAAAACUGACAAGCUAGAGUAUGGUAGAGGGUGGUGGAAUUUCCUGUGUAGCGGUGAAAUGCGUAGAUAUAGGAAGGAACACCAGUGGCGAAGGCGACCACCUGGACUGAUACUGACACUGAGGUGCGAAAGCGUGGGGAGCAAACAGGAUUAGAUACCCUGGUAGUCCACGCCGUAAACGAUGUCAACUAGCCGUUGGGGACCUUGAGUCUUUAGUGGCGCAGCUAACGCAUUAAGUUGACCGCCUGGGGAGUACGGCCGCAAGGUUAAAACUCAAAUGAAUUGACGGGGGCCCGCACAAGC
rnacentral:rRNA from 1 species